AUGUUAAACUAGGAUUAGAUACCCUAUUAUUUAAAAUGUAAAUAAAUUGCUAAAGUAGUAAUAGUUAUGUUCUUGAAACUUAAAAAAUUUGGCGGUAUUUUAGUCUAUCUAGAGGAACCUGUUUUUUAAUCGAUAAUCCACGAUGGACCUUACUUAAAUUUGUAAUCAGUUUAUAUACCGUCGUUAUCAGAAUAUUUUAUAAGAAUAAUAAUAUUCAAUAAUUUUAAUAAAAAUUUAUAUCAGAUCAAGGUGUAGCUUAUAUUUAAGUAAUAAUGGGUUACAAUAAAUUUAUUUAUAUGAAUAAAAUUAUGAAAAAAUUUUUGAAAGUGGAUUUAGUAGUAAAAUUAUAAAGAUUAAUAAUUUGAUUUUAGCUCUAAAAUAUGUACACAUCGCCCGUCGCUCUUAUUAUUAAGGUAAGAUAAGUCAUAACAUAGUAA
rnacentral:rRNA from 1 species